rnacentral:lncRNA from 1 species
AGGGCUACUAUUGCGGGCAUCAAUUUCUGACACAAAUGUAAAAUCGAAAUUAAUGAUCAGUAAUGGAGUGGAGAAAAGACUGAACUUGGGUUUGCAUUAGAUUUUUACCAAUGAUUUGAGCCUGUUGGGCUGAAACUCCUUUAUGUUGCUGUCGAAGAUGAUAUGAUUGCUGUCAAAAAGCAUUGGUAACAUUACAUAUUUCUUCAAUCCUCAGAUAUAAGGUACUAGAACGUAAGAAAAUAAUACUAGAAGGAAGUAGCGGACAGAAGUCAAAGAAACUAGAUGAGUAGUCGGAUAUUUUUGGCUUAUAUAUAACUGAAAAUAUGAAAUUUUACCUAGUUAUGCAGUUUUCCCAUGUAACUUUCAGAUGCAAGGUGUCUUAGACUAUCUUCUCCAAACAGCUACCUCAGUUUACUGAUGUGGGGAGGAGAAGUGAAACCUGUUACCUGUAACCUACAGCUUGAAGUUUCUUGUAAAAUGAUAACGGUUUGUGUUCCUUACUGCACCUGCAUGACUUUAGGUUAAUAACAAGAUAUUUGGGCGAGUAUUUUAGGAAUAUUGGACACAUGAUAAUCUAAUGGGGGCAAUUCUAUUUUAUGUAGUUGAAAUAAGUAGUUAGAUGAAAGUUGUUCGAUUGGGUCUAUCUAAUGCAUUGAGAUUAGCUAUUUCUUUCUCUUUCUGUUGGUAGAAUUUGACCCUAAGAGCUGCAUGUAGCUGCCCAGUUAUUUAAUGAUGUAAGCUACAGCCAGAGAAAAGUUUGUUUUUUUUGUUUAUUGACCGGAUAUAUCUGCUCAAGACCAUUCUCAAAGUUGCCCUAAAUUACUGAACUGUUACCUGUUCUUUUUAUGUUUUUGAGAGAGAGAGAAAAAAAAAGUGAGAUGUCAAUAUCAGGAGAAGCAUGUUUUAGAAAUUGCAAGUCUGUUUGCUAGGUACGGUGAGUGGUAUUGGUAUUGAGCUUUGUCAAACUUAUUAAAAGACUUAUGGCUGCAUAUGAACAGUAUAUAUAUGUAGUGAAGCUGCUUGAGUAAUACAUGAAAAUUAAAACUGAGAUUAUCGGCAGUAUUGAGCUUAAUAUACAUAAUUCAUGUUGCUUGAACGUUAGUGUGGGUAUAAGGUCUAAAUCCGACACUUGACACACAUGUUAGGCAUGAUGACCUAGAACUAGAGGUUACAGUAUAUGAUAACAUAAAGACAAUGAUUAAGAUUACAAGUUUAGGAGUUAAAAAACAAACAAAAAAAUUGGUUAUUGAAUGUCCAAAUAUUUGAGUAUUUUUUGUAUUAACAAAUACUCAAAU